rnacentral:snRNA from 1 species
AUACUUACCUGGCAGGGGAGAUACCUUGAUCACGAAGGAGGUUUUCCCAGGGUGAGGCUCAUCCAUUGCACUCCGGGUGUGCUGACCCCUGCGAUUUCCCCAAAUGCGGGAAACUCGACUGCAUAAUUUGUGAUAGUGGGGGACUGCGUUCGCGCUUUCCCCUG